AGAUAGCCAAACAAUAGCAUCGCAAGAUAACCAGGAGCAUCAAAAUCGACAAGAUAUCAAAAUUCGAGCAGAGACGGAAACGUAUGUACGGCAUACCUUUCAAAGAGGGACGAGCUUGAACAGAAGGAUUAGAGCUGCAAGAAACAUGAACAGGAACGUAACAAGGAUCGCCAGCUCCACCGAUCCACACAGUUGAAUCUGGCUGCUCC
rnacentral:lncRNA from 1 species